AUUGAACGCUGGCGGCAGGCCUAACACAUGCAAGUCGAGCGGAGCGGCGGACGGGUGAGUAAUGCCUAGGAAUCUGCCUGGUAGUGGGGGAGAACGUCCGGAAACGGGCGCUAAUACCGCAUACUAUCAGAUUAGCCUAUGUCGGAUUAGGUAGUUGGUGGGGGAAGGGCUUACCAAGGCGACGAUCCGGAACGGGUCUGAGAGGAUGACCAUGCACACUGGAACUGAGACACGGUCCAGACUCCUACGGGAGGCAGCAGUGGGGAAUAUUGCACAAUGGGCGAAAGCCUGAUCCAGCCAUGCCGCGUGUGUGAAGAAGGUCUUCGGAUUGUAAAGCACUUUAAGUUGGGAGGCGUUACUAACAGAAUAAGCACCGGCUAACUUCGUGCCAGCCGCCGCGGUAAUAC
rnacentral:rRNA from 1 species